GUAGGGAAUAUUGGCAAUGGUCGGAAGACUGACCCAGCCAUGCCGCGUGCAGGAAGACGGCCCUCUGGGUUGUAAACUGCUUUUAUCUGGGAAGAAAAAGGCCAUGCGUGGCAAAUUGCCGGUACCAGAUGAAUAAGCACCGGCUAACUCCGUGCCAGCAGCCGAGGUAAUACGGAGGGUGCGAGCGUUGUCCGGAUUUAUUGGGUUUAAAGGGUGCGUAGGCGGCUGAUUAAGUCAGCGGUGAAAGACUUCGGCUUAACCGGAGCAGUGCCGUUGAUACUGGUUGGCUUGAGUGUCGGAGGGGUACAUGGAAUUGAUGGUGUAGCGGUGAAAUGCAUAGAUACCAUCAGGAACACCGAUAGCGAAGGCAUUGUACUGGCCGACAACUGACGCUGAUGCACGAAAGUGUGGGGAUCGAACAGGAUUAGAAACCCGAGUAGUCC
rnacentral:rRNA from 1 species